UGCGCAGGUGGGAAUGUAAGUCAGUGGUGAAAUACUGCCGCUUAACGGUAGAGCUGCCAUUGAUACUGCGUUUCUUGAGUAUGGUUGAGGUAGGUGGAAUGUGUUGUGUAGCGGUGAAAUGCAUAGAUAUGACACAGAACGCCGAUUGCGAAGGCAACUUACUAAGCCAUUACUGACGCUGAGGCACGAAAGCGUGGGUAGCGAACAGGAUUAGAUACCCUGGUAGUCC
rnacentral:rRNA from 1 species